AGUGCAAAUGACAACAAUGCUGCAUUUUUAAGGCACUUCAACAAGAGACUUUUUGGGUAAACUUCACUUUCUAGUGACUAAAAAUAAUAAUAACCAACCCAGAAGGCCGACUGAAGAUAACGGUCAGGAAUUUAAGUUGUAUUUCAGAAUGGAGUCCAUGCCCUGCGGCGAGCCCCACAUCCUCUUUAGUGCCUCACACUCCCUCUCGUUGGCCUGCUCCAGAGCGGCUCGGUUAACAUUCCGCACCAGCGCUUUGGACUCCCACAGAACCUCCAGGGUUGCCGUGGUGAAGAGCAGCAUCAUGAAAAUGAAAUUGUCUCUUUACACAUGUAACUGGCUCCUCCGUUCUUCAGUGAAACGCCUGAAACCAUCGAUGUAGAAACAUCGUCCAUUGUGUGGCAGCUGUAAUGUUUUAAACCGAUCAACAAACUUUACUUCUCACUGUGCAAUACAUUAUUCUAUUACUGUUAUUACUAUAUUACUGUUAUUACUAUAUUACUGUAUUACUGUUAUUAUUGUUUACUGUAAUUACUGUAAUUACUUAUUACAGUUAUUACUGUUA